rnacentral:miRNA from 1 species
AAUUAAAUUUGAAUUUCAGAAAACAAAGAUUCAUUUUCUAAUAGAAAUGUUUAGUAUUAAAUGCAAUAUUUGAGACAUACUUAUGCUAAAAAUGGCACUGUAUUUAUUUGACAUUCAGAUUUAACU